CUUCCCACGGGGCGCAGCAGUGGGGAAUAUUGCACAAUGGGGGAAACCCUGAUGCAGCGACGCCGCGUGAGUGAAGAAGUAUUUCGGUAUGUAAAGCUCUAUCAGCAGGGAAGAAAAUGACGGUACCUGAGUAAGAAGCCCCGGCUAACUACGUGCCAGCAGCCGCGGUAAUACGUAGGGGGCAAGCGUUAUCCGGAUUUACUGGGUGUAAAGGGUGCGUAGGUGGCAGGGCAAGUCAGAUGUGAAAGCCCGGGGCUCAACCCCGGUACUGCAUUUGAAACUGUCCAGCUGGAGUGCAGGAGAGG
rnacentral:rRNA from 1 species